GAUGAACGCUAGCUACAGGCUUAACACAUGCAAGUCGAGGGGUAACGAGAGGAAAGCUUGCUUUCCUUGUCGACGACCGGCGCACGGGUGAGUAACGCGUAUCCAACCUGCCCCCAACUAGGGAAUAACCUUGCGAAAGUAAGACUAAUACCCUAUAAUUUCCUCAGAUGUCAUCUGACGAGGAAUAAAGAUUUAUCGGUUGUGGAUGGGGAUGCGUCUGAUUAGCUUGUUGGCGGGGUAACGGCCCACCAAGGCAACGAUCAGUAGGGGUUCUGGGAAGGAGGUCCCCCACAUUGGAACUGAGACACGGUCCAAACGCCUACGGGAGGCAGCAGUGAGGAAUAUUGGUCAAUGGGCGGAAGCCUGAACCAGCCAAGUAGCGUGCAGGAUGACGGCCCUAUGGGUUGUAAACUGCUUUUAUACAGGAAUAAAGUUAGCCACGUGUGGUUAUUUGUAGGUACUGUAUGAAUAAGGACCGGCUAAUUCCGUGCCAGCAGCCGCCGUAA
rnacentral:rRNA from 1 species